GACGAACGCUGGCGGCGUGCUUAACACAUGCAGGUCGAACGGAAAGGCCCUGCUUUUGUGGGGUGCUCGAGUGGCGAACGGGUGAGUAACACGUGAGUAACCUGCCCUUGACUUUGGGAUAACUUCAGGAAACUGGGACUAAUACCGGAUAGGAGCUCCUGCUGCAUGGUGGGGGUUGGAAAGUUUCGGCGGUUGGGGAUGGACUCGCGGCUUAUCAGCUUGUUGGUGGGGUAGUGGCUUACCAAGGCUUUGACGGGUAGCCGGCCUGAGAGGGUGACCGGCCACAUUGGGACUGAGAUACGGCCCAGACUCCUACGGGAGGCAGCAGUGGGGAAUAUUGCACAAUGGGCGGAAGCCUGAUGCAGCAACGCCGCGUGCGGGAUGACGGCCUUCGGGUUGUAAACCGCUUUCGCCUGUGACGAAGCGUGAGUGACGGUAAUGGGUAAAGAAGCACCGGCUAACUACGUG
rnacentral:rRNA from 1 species